GCGCGAGUGGCUCAGCUGGUAGAGCACCACCUUGCCAAGGUGGGGGUCGCGGGUUCGAACCCCGUCUCGCGCU
rnacentral:tRNA from 1 species